rnacentral:rRNA from 1 species
GUGAGGAAUAUUGGGCAAUGGAGGCAACUCUGACCCAGCCAUGCCGCGUGAGUGAAGAAGGUUUUCGGAUUGUAAAGCUCUUUCGCACGGGACGAUGAUGACGGUACCGUGAUAAGAAGCCCCGGCUAACUUCGUGCCAGCAGCCGCGGUAAUACGAAGGGGGCAAGCGUUGUUCGGAAUUACUGGGCGUAAAGGGAGUGUAGGCGGUUAUGUAAGAUAGCGGUGAAAUGCCGGGGCUCAACCUCGGAAUUGCCGUUAUAACUAUGUAACUAGAAUGAUAGAGAGGAUAGCGGAAUACCCAGUGUAGAGGUGAAAUUCGUAGAUAUUGGGUAGAACACCGGUGGCGAAGGCGGCUAUCUGGCUAUAAAUUGACGCUGAGGCUCGAAAGCAUGGGGAUCAAACAGG